GAUGAACGCUGGCGGCGGGCCUAACACAUGCAAGUCGAGGGGAACUGUUUUGAUAGCUUUCUUCGUAAUGACUUUGAUUUAGUUUAGUGGCGGACGGGUUACUAACUCGUGAGUAACCUGCCUUCAAGAGGGGAAUAACAUUCUGAUAAGAAUUCUACUACCGCGUGACAUAUCUUAACCACAUGGUUUUCAUCUCAAAGAUUUUAUCGCUUGAAGCUGGACUCGCGUCCGAGUAGUUAGUUGCUGAGGUAACGGCUAACCAAGAUCGCGAUCGGUAGCCGGACUGAGAGGUUGAGCGGCCAAAUUGAGACUGAGACACGGCAGAGGCUCAUACGAGAGGCAGAAGUGGGGGAUAUUGCGCAAGGCGGGCAACCCGGACGCAGCAACGCCGCGUGAAGGAUGACGGUUUUCGGAUUGUAGCCUUCUGUUAUUAAGGUCGAAAAAUGACGGUACUUAAUGAAUAAGCUCCGGCUAACUACGUG
rnacentral:rRNA from 1 species